rnacentral:rRNA from 1 species
GUCACUGCUAUCAGUGUGCGACUAAGCCAUGCGAGUCAAAUGUUCUUCGUGAACAUGGCGUACUGCUCAGUAACACGUGGAUAAUCUGCCCUAAGGUCAGGCAUAACUCCGGGAAACUGGUGAUAAUUCCUGAUAAGCCAUAGAAUCUGGAAUGAUCUGUGGCUCAAAGCUCCGGCGCCUUAGGAUGAAUCUGCGGCCUAUCAGGUUGUAGUGGGUGUAGUGUACCUACUAGCCGACGACGGGUACGGGUUGUGAGAGCAAGAGCCCGGAGAUGGAUUCUGAGACAUGAAUCCAGGCCCUACGGGGCGCAGCAGGCGCGAAAACUUUACAAUGCGGGAAACCGCGAUAAGGGGACACUGAGUGCCAGCAUCUUAUGUUGGCUGUCCACAUGUGUAAAUAGCAUGUGUUAGCAAGGGCCGGGCAAGACCGGUGCCAGCCGCCGCGGUAACACCGGCGGCCCGAGUGGUGACCACUAUUAUUGGGUCUAAAGGGUCCGUAGCCGGUUUGAUCAGUCUUCCGGGAAAUCUGACAGCUCAACUGUUAGGCUUCCGGGGGAUACUGUCAGACUUGGGACCGGGAGAGGUAAGAGGUACUACAGGGGUAGGAGUGAAAUCUUGUAAUCCUUGUGGGACCACCAGUGGCGAAGGCGUCUUACCAGAACGGGUCCGACGGUGAGGGACGAAAGCUGGGGGCACGAACCGGAUUAGAUACCCGGGUAGUCCCAGCCGUAAACGAUGCUCGCUAGGUGUCUGGGACGGUGCGACCGUUUCAGGUGCCGCAGGGAAGCCGUGAAGCGAGCCACCUGGGAAGUACGGCCGCAAGGCUGAAACUUAAAGGAAUUGGCGGGGGAGCACUACAACGGGUGGAGCCUGCGGUUUAAUUGGACUCAACGCCGGAAAACUCACCUGGGGCGACAGCAAUAUGUAGGUCAGGCUGAAGGUCUUACCUGAAUCGCUGAGAGGAGGUGCAUGGCCGUCGUCAGUUCGUACUGUGAAGCAUCCUGUUAAGUCAGGCAACGAGCGAGACCC